rnacentral:rRNA from 1 species
AACCUCCGCAAUGUGAGAAAUCGCGACGGGGGGAUCCCAAGUGCCAUUCUUAACGGGAUGGCUUUUCAUUAGUGUAAAGAGCUUUUGGAAUAAGGGCUGGGCAAGACCGGUGCCAGCCGCCGCGGUAACACCGGCAGCUCUAGUGGUAGCAGUUUUUAUUGGGCCUAAAGCGUCCGUAGCCGGUUUAAUAAGUCUCUGGUGAAAUCCUGCAGCUUAACUGUGGGAAUUGCUGGAGAUACUAUUAGACUUGAGACCGGGAGAGGUUAGAGGUACUCCCAGGGUAGAGGUGAAAUUCUGUAAUCCUGGGAGGACCGCCUGUUGCGAAGGCGUCUAACUGGAACGGUUCUGACGGUGAGGGACGAAAGUUAGGGGCGCGAACCGGAUUAGAUACCCGGGUAGUCCUAACUGUAAACGAUGCGGACUUGGUGUUGGGGUGGCUUUGAGCUGCUUCAGUGCCGAAGGGAAGCUGUUAAGUCCGCCGCCUGGGAAGUACGGUCGCAAGACUGAAACUUAAAGGAAUG